GUGAACCUAGUCCUCCAGACAGAAAGAAAUCAUACCAAGCGGCAAAAAGCUCAUGGUUGAUGUUGGUAGCCCAUGAGGAGGGCUCCCGGUAUAUACCUCAGCGAGGGGAUGAAAUUGUAUAUUUAAGACAGGGCCAUGAAGAGUACAUAAGUCAGAAUAGUUUGAGGGAUUUAGGCCCCUGGAAAACAAUAAAGGGAAAAAUAAGAGCAGUAGAAUUUUGUUUGAUUGAAAACCUCGAGUUCAAAACACGGCCAGGUUCUGGAGAAAGCUGUGCUAAAAUGACAGUGAAAUUUGUAGAUCCUGCUUCUGAUGUGGUGGGGAAAUCAUUUCAGUUGACACUGCCUGAAGUGACUGGUUUCCCUGAUUUCCUUGUUGAAAGAACCAGAUAUGAUGCUGCUAUAGAAAGGAACUGGACUUCUCGGGACAAAUGCCAAGUUUGGUGGAAGAAUGAAGGUGAGGAAGAUGGGAGUUGGUGGGAAGGUAGGAUUCUAAAUGUGCAAGCUAAAUCUCAUGAAUUUCCUGACAGCCCCUGGGAAAGGUAUGUUGUCCGAUAUAAGAGUGAUCCAUCGGAAACUCAUCAGCAUAGUCCUUGGGAACUAUAUGAUGCUGACACACAAUGGGAACAACCUCGUAUAGAUGAUGAAACCAGAGAGAAGCUGAUGAGUGCGUUUAAUAAGCUGGAGCAAUCCGGGAAUAAAGCUCAGGACUACUAUGGGGUUGAAAAAUUGAGACAGGUUUCACACAAGUCAAACUUCAUUAACAGGUUUCCUGUUCCCUUGUCACUUGAAACUAUUCGGGCUAGGCUAGAGAACAAUUACUAUAGGAGUCUGGAGGGAAUGAAACAUGACAUUGAGGUGAUGCUCUCAAAUGCAGAGUCAUAUUGUGGAAGAAAUGUCGAGUUAACAACGAGAGUGAGACGUUUGUCUGAGUGGUUCAGACGGACAAUCUCAUUUUUGUAGCAACUUCUGAUGCAAUUUUGUAGAAAUUACUGCCCAU
rnacentral:misc_RNA from 1 species